rnacentral:rRNA from 1 species
UAGGGAAUAUUAGUAAUGGGCGAAAGCCUGAACUAGCAACGCCGCGUGUGCGAAGAAGGCCUUCGGGUUGUAAAGCAUUUUUUGAGAGGAUGAGGAAGGACGGUACUCUCAGAAUAAGUCUCGGCUAACUACGUGCCAGCAGCCGCGGUAACACGUAGGAGGCGAACGUUAUCCGGAUUUACUGGGCGUAAAGCGCGUGUAGGUGGUUUGGUAAGUAGGGCGUGAAAGCUCCUGGCUCAACUGGGAGAGGCCGUUCUAAACUGCCGAACUAGAGGAUGGUAGAGGGAGGUUGAAUUCCGGGUGUAGCCGUGGAAUGCGCAGAUAUCCGGAGGAACACCAGUUGCGUAAGCGGCCUCCUGGACCACUCCUGACACUCAGACGCGAAAGCUAGGGUAGCAAACGG